UACAGAGGCCUCAAGCGUUGUUCGGAAUCAUUGGGCGUAAAGGGCGCGUAGGCGGCGCGGUAAGUCGGGUGUGAAAUCUCGGAGCUUAACUCCGAGACUGCAUUCGAUACUGCCGUGCUUGAGGACUGGAGAGGAGACUGGAAUUUACGGUGUAGCGGUGAAAUGCGUAGAUAUCGUAAGGAAGACCAGUGGCGAAGGCGGGUCUCUGGACAGUUCCUGACGCUGAGGCACGAAGGCCAGGGGAGCAAACGGG
rnacentral:rRNA from 1 species